UACGGAGGGGGCAAGCGUUGUCCGGACUUACUGGGCGUAAAGGGUGCGUAGGUGGCUUGCCACGUCGGUGCUGAAAGCGCCCGGCUUAACCGGGCGAGGCGUGCCGAUACGAGCGAGCUCGAGCCUCGGAGAGGGCGGUGGAACUCCUGGUGUAGUGGUGAAAUGCGUAGAGAUCAGGAAGAACACCCGUGGCGCAAGCGACCGCCUGGCCGAGUGCUGACACUGAGGCACGAAAGCGUGGGGAGCGAACCGG
rnacentral:rRNA from 1 species